rnacentral:rRNA from 1 species
GUUUGAUCCUGGCUCAGGAUGAACGCUGGCGGUAUGCUUAACACAUGCAAGUCGAACGAAAGUUUUUAACUUUAGUGGCGAUCGGGUGAGUAAUACGUGAGAAUCUGCCCUUAGGAGAAGAAUAACUGCUGGAAACGGUUGCUAAAUCUUCAUAUGUCGAGAGAUGAAAUAGCUUAAGCUGCCUAAGGAUGAGCUCACGCCUGAUUAGCUUGUUGGUGAGGUAAUGGCUCACCAAGGCCACGAUCAGUAGCUGGUUUGAGAGAACGACCAGCCACACUGGGACUGAGACACGGCCCAGACUCCUCCGGGAGGCAGCAGUGAGGAAUUUUCCGCAAUGGGCGAAAGCCUGACGGAGCAAUACCGCGUGAGGGAUGAAGGAUUUUGGUCUGUAAACCUCUUUUCUCAAGAAAGAAGUUCUGACGGUACUUGAGGAAUAAGCAUCGGCUAACUCCGUGCCAGCAGCCGCGGUAAUACGGGGGAUGCAAGCGUUAUCCGGAAUGAUUGGGCGUAAAGCGCCUGUAGGUUGUUUAUUAAGUCCGUUGUUAAAGCCUAGGGCUCAACCCUAGAAAAGCAAUGGAAACUAGUAGACUAGAGUAUGGCAGGGGUAGAGGGAAUUUCUAGUGUAGCGGUGAAAUGCGUAGAUAUUAGAAAGAACACCGGUGGCGAAAGCGCUCUACUGGACCAUUACUGACACUCAGAGGCGAAAGCUAGGGUAGCAAAAGGGAUUAGAUACCCCUGUAGUCCUAGCCGUAAACGAUGGAUACUAGAUGUUGUGCAUUAUGUACAGUAUCGUAGCUAACGCGUUAAGUAUCUCGCUGGGGAGUACGCUCGCCAGGGUGAAACUCAAAGGAAUUGAC